UGGGCCUUUUGUUGAAAAUGAUGAGGAAACCAACAAUGAAAUCCUUCAGCAUUUUUGCUGCAAUGGGAGACUCGUGGAUGCAUCGAGGGGCAGUUCUUUGAGCUUGGCUAUACCGUCUGCCUUGGGAUUUGAUGUAGAGAUGUAGUUUUCUUUCCUUACUUGACCACACAUGUCUUACACAUUCCUAUGUGGGUAUGGUAACAGAUUUGCCAAGGAAGUAUCCUAGCAUAGCACACAUGUUUAGGCUUAGAGAAUGGGAGUUGUAUUCAAGCUAACAUUCGGUACUCAAACCAUUAUUGUCAGAAUUUAUUUCAACUUCCGACUGAAUGUGUACAAUGCAGUUAUUUUGAUAAAUAAAAAUAUAUUGAGGAACUAGAACCGCAAAUGAGUUCAACUUGCAAUCUUUCAUUUAUGCUUAAUUGCUAUCCGCUCUAAUUCACAUAGAUGCUAAUUCAACAAGGAAGACAUUGCCCUUUGUAAGAACUUAACAUCGACAUUUCAUAUGUUUCACAGCACUUUCCUAUACUAACUGAAAGUACUCAUAGUUUGACAACAUGAAACUCAACCAAAAACUUUUGGACACUGAUAUCCAUCAAAGUUAUCAUCUAUUCUCAUUCAAACCACAGGUUAGAUGCUUCCAGGUAGGCAGCUGCACUAGAGUGAGGAUCUUUCAGGACAAGCUUCAUGCAGCAAUUAGCAUGGUCUUCAAGCUUCCAGCAUUUAGCUUCUUUUUGAGUUCAAUCUCCUGAACUUGGGAAUUUGCCGAUGCACAAAACCAGCGGCGUAAGUAUUCAAUUAAUACCUUAAGAAAAGAAACGUCUUACAACUUUGGAUAAUUGAAGAGAAACACCACAACCUUUGUCAAACAUAACAUGUAAGUAGCAGCAUGUAUUGCUUGUGCUUGAAAAUCUUCAAACUUGUUGUCAGGUAUAAUUGAGCAAGAAUUUAUAAGAUGCAACUCAUUAUCCAAAAAGAUAUUGACGUCAUCAACUAUGCUUUACUUAUGCUUGGAUUGGUUAGUUACAUCACCAAGAUUAGUUGCAAAAUGCCUUAUCCAGAACAGGGAAAGGAACCUGCGAUAGAGCUACAUAGCCUGUAAUUCAAAUAAAAUGCCAUUUGAAGUUGACUCUGGUGGUUUAAAGACCACUGAAAAUUCCCAUAGAAAAAUCUAUUUUUUUUAUCCUUUUUAUCAAAGAGAUUAGAGGGGAAAAUAUCUGAAACAAGUGCAUCAAUACUCAAAACGUAUUAUCACAACGUAAGGCCAGCUAUUGAGCUUGUGAAUUGAGAUGAUAGAAUGCCAGGAAUCCUUCCUGGAUCUACCAGGCAAUACCACACAUAAAUAGAUUUCAAAGAUGGAACAGUGAAGGUGUUCUUGCCCAUAAAGAAUAUUGUGAAUAAGUCAUGAAUAUUGUUAUCCUAAGUACCUCAUCUAAACUCCUUAGCAUUAGUAGCUGCAAUUUGGCAAGAACUCAAAUUGUGAUGGACAUAGGAAAUAUCAUAAAAAUUUAAAUGAUAUAUUGAAUUUCAACGUAGUUAUUAUUGCUGUGAAAGAUUACACCAUGUUUGAUUUCGUAGAAAGUGCUAUAAUGGCUAUUCUACUCCAACAAAAGGUCAGCUUGCUACUGUCAAUAGGUUGGCUAUUUCAAUAAUAAGUAAUGCCACAAGAAUCUGAUAAGUCAUGCUACAUAAAGAUAUCCAAGUUCCUAUCCAAAAUAUCCUCAAACCAACAACAUAUGUAGGCUGCAACUGUCUGAUAAAAGACAGCAGCUUUAUUACAACCUCAUUGUCCCUUUUUUUAAUUUAUUUUUAUUUUUAUUUUUAUCUUGCUCUACAUAAUUCAAU
rnacentral:misc_RNA from 1 species